rnacentral:rRNA from 1 species
UACAGAGGUGGCAAGCGUUGUUCGGAAUUACUGGGCGUAAAGGGCGCGUAGGCGGCCUACUAAGUCAGACGUGAAAUCCCCCGGCUUAACCUGGGAACUGCGUCUGAUACUGGAAGGCUUGAGGAUGGGAGAGGGAUGUAGAAUUCCAGGUGUAGCGGUGAAAUGCGUAGAUAUCUGGAGGAAUACCGGUGGCGAAGGCGGCAUCCUGGACCGUUACUGACGCUGAGGCGCGAAAGCUAGGGGAGCAAACGGG